rnacentral:rRNA from 1 species
UACAGAGGGUGCAAGCGUUAAUCGGAAUUACUGGGCGUAAAGAGUGCGUAGGUGGUUAAUUAAGUUGAGUGUGAAAGCCCAGGGCUUAACCUUGGAACGGCAUUUAAAACUGAUUAGCUAGAGUUCAGGAGAGGGAAGUGGAAUUUCCGGUGUAGCGGUGAAAUGCGUAGAUAUCGGAAGGAACAUCAGUGGCGAAGGCGACUUUCUGGAAUGAUACUGACACUGAGGUACGACAGCGUGGGUAGCGAACAGG